AUUGCACUUGUCCCGGCCUG
rnacentral:ncRNA from 2 species